GACGAACCGUCCCAAACGUUGUUCGGAAUCACUGGGCUUAAAGGGCGCGUAGGCGGCUUGCCAAGUCAGGGGUGAAAUCUUUCGGCUCAACCGGAAAAGUGCCUUUGAUACUGGCAGGCUUGAGGGAGGUAGGGGCCUGUGGAACUUCUGGUGGAGCGGUGAAAUGCGUUGAUAUCCAUAGGAACUCCGGUGGCGAAGGCGGCACGCUGGACCCCUUCUGACGCUGAGGCGCG
rnacentral:rRNA from 1 species